rnacentral:ncRNA from 1 species
AGGCCGCAGUGAAAAGGAUCUAGCGACUGUUUAUCAAAAACACAGGUCUGUGCGAAGGCGUAAGCCGCGGUAUACAGACUGACGCCUGCCCGGUGCUGGUAAGUUAAGGAAGAGGGUUAGGGGAAAUCCGGAAGCUCGCAACCGAAGCUCCAGUAAACGGCGGCCGUAACUAUGACGGUCCUAAGGUAGCGAAGUUCCUUGUCGGGUAAGUUCCGACCUGCAUGAAUGGCGUAACGACUGGACACUGUCUCCACGAGCGACUCGGUGAAAUUGUAGUUGUCGUGAAGAUGCGACAUACCCGCAGCUAGACGGAAAGACCCCGUGAACCUUAACUGCAGCUUGGUAUUGGGUUUAGACCCAACAUGCGUAGUGUAGGUGGGAGGCAUUGAACCGGGCGUUUCGGCGCCCGGGGAGCCGUCGAUGAAACACCACCCUUGUUGUGUUUGAAUUCUAACCCCGUCUCGUGAACGAAGGGACAGUGCUAAGUGGGCAGUUUGAUUGGGGCGAUCUCCUCCCAAAAGGUAACGGAGGAGUGCAAAGGUACCCUCAGCCCGGUUGGCAAUCGGGCAUCGAGCGUAAAGGUAGAAGGGUGCUUGACUGCGAGCCCGAUGGGGCGAGCAGGGACGAAAGUCGGCCUUAGUGAUCCGGUGGUCCCGGGAUGGAAGGGCCAUCGCUCAACAGAUAAAAGGUACUCCGGGGAUAACAGGCUUAUCUCCUCUGAGCGUCCAUAG